rnacentral:rRNA from 1 species
AACGAACGCUGGCGGCAUGCCUAACACAUGCAAGUCGAACGAAACCUUCGGGUCUAGUGGCGCACGGGUGCGUAACGCGUGGGAACCUGCCCUUAGGUUCGGAAUAACUCCCCGAAGGGUGUGCUAAUGCCGGUUAAGCUCUUAGGACCAAAGAUUUCUUGCCUUUGGAUGGGCCCGCGUUGGAUUAGCUGGUUGGUAAGGUAAAAGCCUACCAAGGCGUCGUUACAUAGCUGGUCUGAGAGGAUGAUCAGCCACAGUGGGAGUGAGACACGGACCAGAAUGGGACGGGAGGGAGCAGUGGGGAAUAUUAGACGAGGGGCGAAAGCGUGAUACAGCAAUGCCGCGUGAGUGAUGAAGGCCGUAGGGUUGUAAAGCUCUUUUAGACGGGAUGAUAAUGACAGUACCGGGAGAAUAAGCACCGGCUAACUACGUG